GGGGGUGAUCGGUUUCGACUCGGGACGGUAGUCCCAGGAGAAGCGGGCCGAGAAUCCAAGGUCAACUCGUUAAUGUCCCUUGGAAACCAAUAAGUGCCAAUUCCAAGCGCACUGACUUCGCUCUCGCUGCCUGAGCAGUGACCGAAGGGUCAGACCGGGAUCGUCUCCGACCCGGACCCUGGCCUCAUCAAGGAGACUCGCUGAUCAGGGCACGCCUUAGGGCCUGAUCGGGACUUUUCUAGGGCUGGGCUCGUCUCACACCUUGCCGACAUGAGUGUGGGAGCCGAGAAAAUCUAACUGUUGGCUGCGCCCGGAGAAGACCUGGUUCGUCGCUCGAGGACGCGGGUUCGAUUCCCGCCACCUCCACCA
rnacentral:tmRNA from 1 species